UACGUAGGGUGCAAGCGUUGUCCGGAAUUAUUGGGCGUAAAGAGCUUGUAGGCGGUUUGUCGCGUCUGCUGUGAAAUUUCGGGGCUCAACCCCGAACUUGCAGUGGGUACGGGCAGACUAGAGUGUGGUAGGGGAGACUGGAAUUCCUGGUGUAGCGGUGAAAUGCGCAGAUAUCAGGAGGAACACCGAUAGCGAAGGCAGCUCGCUGGGACGGUACUGACGCUGAGACGCGAAAGCGUGGGGAGCAAACAGG
rnacentral:rRNA from 1 species